AAUAUUAGUUGUCAGUAUCUCCGACUCAGAGAUGGAAAAGGAGAUACUCCUGCUGAUGAUAAAGAGAAAAAAGAACAAGUAGAUGACAUUACUGAUGAUGACCAAAGUGAGGAGAAAGGUGAUGACGAUGAGGUCAAAGAUGCUGAUAUUGCCAUUGCUCUUGGUAUUGUAGCUGAUACUGGUGCUACAGUCACUGAUGUUAAAGCACAAGAAACUGGUGAGGAACCUAUACUUCUUAAAGCUGAUGGUGAUUCAAAGCUAUUAACAACCUUAGAGGAGAGUGCUGCUACAGCUGAUGAUGCAGUAACUGAUUUAGCUGACUCACAAGAUGGCUUAGCCGCAACUGAUAUCCCAUAUGAUGACCAUGAUGAUAAGAUAGCAAAAGAUCUAGCUGAGGAUCAUGGUGAGGUAACAGAAGACAGUCUUAAAGAUGAGACUGGUGCUGGACUAAAAGACGCUGAUUCUGAAAAAGAUAUAACAAGUGAGGGUGAGGGUGUUAUUGAGAAGCCUGAGCUAGCUGAUGAUGUUGCAGAUAAGGAAGAGCAGGAGGGAAAAGAGGAGGGAGAAGAACAGAUAAGGGGUGAAGAUGAGGAAGGUGAUGAUGCUAUUAUAGUAACAACACCUGUAGUUAGUUCCGAACCAGGUGGAGAUGAGACAACAGUGGUGGCUGAUGAAGAUGAUGGCUCUUCACCUGAGAAAGACAUAAGAACCCUGAAAGAAGAGGAGAAAGAUGAAAAGGAUGAAAGCGCAGAGAAAGUGGAAAUUGCAGAAAAAGCACCAAAACCAGAACUGAUCCCUAAAGCCGAGGAAGUGAAAGAAAAAGAAGCAGAGAAACCUGUGGCAAAGGCUGAAAAAGAAGCUGAACCCGAUAAAGUAAAGAAAAGAGAAGCAGAGACUAAGAGAAGGGAACCCCUGCUUAAACAGAGAAAAGGUGCAGUAGCACUCUUUACAUCAAAGUUAUUAUUUUUUACUCAGAUCAGAAUAUUAAAUAUAGAUAGGCAUUUGUUUGUGGAAGAAUAUUGUACUGAAGUCUUUUUUUUUCACCUCCUCACUGACAUUUGCUCAUCAGAAAAAGAGGCUCCAAGAAGAACAAGACUAGAAAAAGCAAAGAAAGGUAAAAAAGAAAAAUCACAAUGUGUGCCUGCUUUUUUAUAUCAUCAUACCCUGAAAGACUUGUUUCAAAUGAUUUUUAUAAUCAUAGCGAUGAAUAUUGCAGAAUUUAAUUUGCUCUCUGCUUCACAGCUCCAAAAGCAAAGGCAGCGGCUGUCAACAUACCCAAAACGAGAAGUAAAUCCACAUGAUCUGAUCAUACUUUACUUCUUUAAAGGGAUAGUUCAUCCAUAA
rnacentral:lncRNA from 1 species